rnacentral:misc_RNA from 1 species
AAUAUUAAUUGCUCUCCAGGUUCGUCAUUACCUGUCCUUUCCCCUCCCGGUAUAUAGAAUAUAUACAUACUGUUCCUGUUUAUACGCUGGUUUCCUCCAUUUAUGUGCUGUAAUUUGUAUUUUAUUUGGUCGGUGUUUUCUGUAUAUAUUGUUUUUACUUCUGGGGUUGUGUUUUUAUAGGUUUUCUAGCUGUUUAUUGUAAUUAUUUGGGUUUUAGAUUACUGGGAUUAAUGGGUUAUGCUUAGUUUGGCUUACGGGGAACAAUUGCGUUGGUUUCUUCACAAUCAACCUGGGGUUUUUUCGUUUUUUGAAGUCUGUUAUAUUCUUUCCCUUUGGCGGUUGCUAUAUUCCAGAGCCGUAUAGCUAUCUGCUGGUAUUGGCAGGUGAGUAAAUCCCAUUAGAGAUUGAAUCAGGGAAAGUUGGGUUAGAAUUGUGUUCAAGUUUUCAAGAAGUAGAAGAGGUCUGUGGAAUUUGGUUCAUUCAGCUAGAGUUGUACUUGGGAUAUUUACUU